AGCAGUGCAUUUUGAAAAGCAUUUCUGCAGCUUUAACAAUCACUACAACAGAGUUUAAUGUUGCUUUUCCACCACUUUUCUACCAAAAUCCAACCUCACUCCCACUGCUCUCCUGACAUCACGAUCAUGUGCCGUCGCUGGAUUUAUACUGGAGGUAUCUGAGUCACCGCUGACAUCCAGGAGGCUUCAAAUGAUUCACUCCCUACUGAAUGAGCAGCUUGAUUUGAAAUGAUUCAGCAGCCGUGGCCACAGCAGCUGAACGUCAACAUUUUCCAGGAGGGUUUGUGAGACUUUCUGGCUUCCCAAGUUGGAAAUUUGUCCCAGAGAAGUACUUGUAGGUUUUCAAGUUGCAGCUGAAGUAAAUAUAUGAGAUUCUUUAUCAAUCCUAACUUCUCUUGGGAUGAUAAAAGGAAAUGUGUGAUUGGUGAAUAACUGCACAAGGUGACUCACAUGACAUUAUUUCAAAUAGAAGCAACUUAUUUCUCAAAUUUUUUAAUAAAGUGAUGACAUUUAA